rnacentral:rRNA from 1 species
GAUGAACGCUGGCGGCGUGCCUAAUACAUGCAAGUCGAGCGAACAGACGAGGAGCUUGCUCCUCUGACGUUAGCGGCGGACGGGUGAGUAACACGUGGAUAACCUACCUAUAAGACUGGGAUAACUUCGGGAAACCGGAGCUAAUACCGGAUAAUAUACUGAACCGCAUGGUUCAAUAGUGAAAGACGGUUUUGCUGUCACUUAUAGAUGGAUCCGCGCCGCAUUAGCUAGUUGGUAAGGUAACGGCUUACCAAGGCGACGAUGCGUAGCCGACCUGAGAGGGUGAUCGGCCACACUGGAACUGAGACACGGUCCAGACUCCUACGGGAGGCAGCAGUAGGGAAUCUUCCGCAAUGGGCGAAAGCCUGACGGAGCAACGCCGCGUGAGUGUUGAAGGUCUUCGGAUCGUAAAACUCUGUUAUUAGGGAAGAACAAAUGUGUAAGUAACUAUGCACGUCUUGACGGUACCUAAUCAGAAAGCCACGGCUAACUACGUG